rnacentral:lncRNA from 1 species
AGUCUGGAGCCCACUUCCCUCUGGAGCUUGCGGGGUCCUCCCCGGGCUUGACCGUCGCGUCCUGGACAGGGUGUUUGGCCACCUUCUUGCUGGCGGGGUCUUCACUGGGCCUGGGAAGGCUCGGGACCAGGAACUAGGCCCCACCUCCACCAUUUCUAGGGAGGAGGAGUUGGAAGAAUAAGAUCAGGGUCAGGGCACUUGGAGCCUCCUUCCUGCCGCUCACGGCUCCAGGGGCCAUGGCAUGGACGGGCCUGUGCUGCCCAGCUCGGUGGCCCACGCUGGAGACUGUGGAUGGGCAGUAGACUGGCCUAGCGAUGGUUCCAUUUCCAAGUUGCAUCUCUCACUAGCCGUUACCCGGGCAUUGCACUUCUCUCCAGGACAGUUUCCCUGGCUGUAAAUAGGACUAAGGACGAGGUCCAGCUCCGCUGUUUAUCUGUGUGCCUUAGGAACAGCCAUUUAAUUACCUCAUCUCUGGGCUCUUGGGAGGAACAUGGCAGGUUUUGAAGCACUUAGCGCCGGGCUAGAGUGAACAUCCAUUCAAUAAUGUGGCUCCCACCUCUUCUAGGUUAAUACAGAGGCCACCCGGUUCAUCUCAGACCUGCCUUUGUCCACCAGGGGUUUAAGUAAAAACUACCACAAGCAGCAAGACUUCCACCGUCCUCUGGGUCCCAACCACAAUCCUGAGGCCAAUGGUGACGGCAACUGUAGAGACAGAAGGUAGCAGUUCCUUUCGGACACUUGUCCACCAACCCAAGAAUGGAGCAAAAAUCAAAACCUCCCUCCAUACAUCUUCUUAACGGACUCUACUUCCUCUCCAUUCCCACUGGCUCUGCCCCAAGUUAAGCCUCUGCAGAGCUCCUGGCUCCUGCACCCUAACUCCUGCCCUUCCACCCUCGACACACAGUACCACAUCCGCCCGCCUCUAAUUCAGAGCCAACAGUGUUAAACUGUUAAGAGUCGGCCACGGCACAGGGACACCCCAAGGCUCUUUGCUCUCAGGUCUCCACCUACACUCAUCUCAGCAGCCUCGUCCCCUCUCAGUCCUUGCUCAGGGCUUCCAUGGAACAGGAAUGGCCCAGCCUUUAACACCCUGAGUUCCACACCUCCUGCCUUUUGCUUUGCAGCGCUCUCCGCCAGGAGCGCCCUCCUUACACCCCCAUCUUAAACCUCCUGGGAUCUUCUCCAUCCUUUCUGGGAGCCCCACCCAGCACUGCUCCCUUCAGAAAGGCACUCUUUGUUCCCCAUAAAGACCUGAUAUCGACCAGGCGCGGUGGCUCACACCUGUAAUCCCAGCACUUUGGCAGGCCGAGGUGGGCAGAUCACUUGAGGUCAGGAGUUCGUGACCAGCCUGGCCAACAUGGUGAAACCGCAUCUCUAAUACAAAAAAUUUAGCCGGGCGUGGUGGUGGGCGCCUGUAAUCCCAGCUACUCAUGAGUCUGAGACAGGAGAAUCGCUUGAACCCAGGAGGUGGAGGCUUCAGUGAGCUGAGAUUGCCCGCUGCUGCACUCCAGCCUGGGUGACAGAGCGAGACUCAGUCUCAAAGAAAAUAAAAAUAAUUUUUAAAAGACCUGAUCUCACCGGCUCUGACUCAGGACGUACUGCUGCCUGCCUCUGGCUGGAUAUCUCUGUAGUUGUCUAAACACCCCCACCCCAGCUUCUCAAGAGUGUGUGCUCCUUGGCCCAGGCAUGUGGCUUGUGGGGCCUGCCAUAGAAAUUGAUACAAAAUAGGGAGGAGGAGGACUAACACAGAGCACCUGCUAUGCCCCAGGAGCUUUACAUACUAUCUCAUUUAAUCUUCACAUUAACCCUGUGAGGUGGGCGUUAUCCCCAUUUCACAGAUGAGGCUCAGAGUGAAAUGAGGUUCCAGGACUGUGCCAAAGGCCAAGCCUUUUC